rnacentral:rRNA from 1 species
CACGUAGUUAGCCGGCGCUUCUUAUCCAGCUACCGUCAACCCACCCACAAAACGAGGCAGGCCUGCUUCACUGGCGAAAGAGGUUCACAACCCGAAGGCCUCCAUCCCUCACGCGGCGUCGCUGCAUCAGGCUUGCGCCCAUUGUGCAAUAUUCCCCACUGCUGCCUCCCGCAGGAGUCUGGGCCGUGUCUCAGUCCCAGUGUGGCCGUCCACCCUCUCAGGCCGGCUACCCCGUCACCGCCUUGGUAGGCCAUCACCCCACCAACAAGCUGAUAGGCCGCGAGCCCAUCCCCCACCGAAAACACCCAAAGGCGCAAUCUUUCCCAAACCCGCCAUGCGACAGACCCGGAAUACCCCGUAUUACGCCCCACUUUCAUGAGGUUAUCCAGAAGAAGAGGGCAGGUUACUCACGUGUUACUCACCCGUUCGCCACUCAUCCACACCCACCAAAAAGGCAAGCGCUUCACCGUUCGACUUGCAUGUGUUAAGCACGCCGCCAGCGUUCGU